rnacentral:rRNA from 1 species
AACGAACGCUGGCGGCAGGCCUAACACAUGCAAGUCGAGCGCCCCGCAAGGGGAGCGGCGGACGGGUGAGUAACGCGUGGGAACGUGCCCUUUGCUACGGAAUAGCCCCGGGAAACUGGGAGUAAUACCGUAUAAGCCCUACGGGGGAAAGAUAUAUCGGCAAAGGAUCGGCCCGCGUUGGAUUAGGUAGUUGGUGGGGUAAUGGCCUACCAAGCCGACGAUCCAUAGCUGGUUUGAGAGGAUGAUCAGCCACACUGGGACUGAGACACGGCCCAGACUCCUACGGGAGGCAGCAGUGGGGAAUCUUAGACAAUGGGCGCAAGCCUGAUCUAGCCAUGCCGCGUGAGCGAUGAAGGCCUUAGGGUUGUAAAGCUCUUUCGUGGGGGAAGAUAAUGACUGUACCCCAAGAAGAAGCCCCGGCUAACUCCGUGCCAGCCGCCGCAGUAAAAC